rnacentral:rRNA from 1 species
CAGCAGCCGCCACGGUAAUACGUAGGGUGCGAGCGUUAAUCGGAAUUACUGGGCGUAAAGCGUGCGCAGGCGGUUGUGUAAGACAGGUGUGAAAUCCCCGGGCUUAACCUGGGAACUGCGCUUGUGACUGCACAGCUAGAGUAUGGCAGAGGGGGGUGGAAUUCCACGUGCAGCAGUGAAAUGCGUAGAGAUGUGGAGGAACACCGAUGGCGAAGGCAGCCCCCUGGGCCAAUACUGACGCUCAUGCACGAAAGCGUGGGGAGCAAACAGGAUUAGAUACCCGCGUAGUCCCUGUCUCUUAUAC